UACGGAGGGUGCGAGCGUUGUCCGGAAUCAUUGGGCGUAAAGGGCGCGUAGGUGGCUUCUCAAGCGUGCGGUGAAAGCCUGGGGCUCAACCCCGGGUCGGCCGUGCGAACUGGGGGGCUGGAGCACUGUAGAGGCAGGCGGAAUUCCGGGUGUAGCGGUGGAAUGCGUAGAGAUCCGGAAGAACACCGGUGGCGAAGGCGGCCUGCUGGGCAGUUAGCUGACACUGAGGCGCGACAGCGUGGGGA
rnacentral:rRNA from 1 species